GGCCCUGAGGUGUUAUCAUACCGAAUUGCAAAUUCGGGGAAGUAGUCGACAAACUGCCGGGGCUU